rnacentral:tmRNA from 2 species
GGGGCUGAUUCUGGAUUCGACGGGAUUUGCGAAACCCAAGGUGCAUGCCGAGGGGCGGUUGGCCUCGUAAAAAGCCGCAAAAAAAUAGUCGCAAACGACGAAAACUACGCUUUAGCAGCUUAAUAACCUGCUUAGAGCCCUCUCUCCCUAGCCCCCGCUCUUAGGACGGGGAUCAAGAGAGGUCAAACCCAAAAGAGAUCGCGCGGAUGCCCUGCCUGGGGUUGAAGCGUUAAAACUAAUCAGGCUAGUCUGGUAGUGGCGUGUCCGUCCGCAGGUGCCAGGCGAAUGUAAAGACUGACUAAGCAUGUAGUACCGAGGAUGUAGGAAUUUCGGACGCGGGUUCAACUCCCGCCAGCUCCACCA